CACUCAUUUCCCUCCCUCCCGUGAAUGGCGUCCCUCUGCUCUACAACCUCCCUCCGUCACGAUCCUCGGUCGUGGCCAACAGGAGGGGACCCUCGGCCCCGGUCGUGGAUGCCUGUUCGGGACAUGGAUCGCCAUGUCCGGCGCCGCCAGUGCCUCGUGGACCGCCAUCAAUAGCUCCGGGACCUCCGCCAUCGAACUCAGUUUUCCUAGGUACUUUUAAACUUUCCACAAUACUAAGGAGCUGUUCGGCGAUACUCCAACUCCGUGAAAUCUGAGGAUUUGUGGAGCAUCCUUUUCCCGGCUUCACGAUUUUUAAGUGCUGCUCCACCAACUCCGGGAGUGGGGUUACGGAGCGGAGGGCUUCCGAACAGGCCCUAACACUGCUUCCUCAUUAUACUAAUACCUUCUCAACGAGUUGGAGCUUGCACAUAUGGGCAUAUGGUACACUUGCACGGGUUGCCAGGUUCUCAAGACCAUUGGAUUUAGUACGUCAAAAUGGAUUAGAUGAACCAAAUACUAACUGCUCGUCCUUCUUAGUGUAGUGUAUAUAGGAUUGUAUAUUUCUGCUCAAUUAUUCCCAUUAAAUAUGUUCCUUUAGGGAGAUAUGUAAAGAUGUUACUGCAACCUACAAGGAACAAAAUCAUCCUGCCAGUAAUCAUAAUUGUAUUCUCCAUGAAGAUCGGUCAAGAGCAAGGAUUUCUAUUCCAACGGCCUUGACGAAUUCAGCCUCUUAGCUCCAGCAUCACCGGUAUAAGAUAAAUGAAGUUGGUGUUAUUUUGGAUGAAGAUUAUCUGCUAAUGAGGCCAACUUGUUAAGUUGUGCAUUAUUUUCAGUUUUGUAAAUUUUGUGGUUGUGUGCUAACAUAUCAAUUACUUUUUUGUUACCUUGGAGGGUGAUGCUAUGGGGACUUGGUAAGUGCAAUUUUGGUGCAAGAAAAAUUUGCAAAUGUUUAAUCUCAUGGGUUCUGUUUGUACAACAUUUAAUAUAUUUCAAAACUCAAGAGGUGAAGUUAGUCGGUGUA